GCAUCGGUGGUUUAGUGGUAAAAUUAGCCGUUGCCAUCCUAAGGUUCGACGUCGGCUAGCCCCGGGUUCGAUUCCCGGCCGAUGCA